UAUGUGUAAAUUCAAUGAAAUAUAACAUUGAAAAGAAAAGAAAAAUGAAAAAGACAACAGAAUAAUGAUCAUUGAAUAACCUAUCCAUAUUCAGCUUUGUGAGGACCUUGCAUUGACUUUAUCCAUUGGUGUGUACCACCGAGGUUCGUUCUUGGACCGUUUUAUAUUCAAGACCUAAAUGGACUGAUUUAGUCACCUUUUGUGUCGGCUGAUGAUUGUGUAUUUCCCCAGGAUAUUUCAAGAAUGUGUGCUUUCUGUAAUGUAUCAAGAUACUGGUAUAUUUAUUCUCUGUAUUGUAGGUGCUGUCUGUUAAAGAAGACUCUUAAAGGAAAUCUCAUCUGGAAAAGGGUAAGUGUUAAAAUUUUCCCUACUUUCAUGGCCACAUGUGACUCCCAAAUGUGAGAGAGAUCCUGACGGCCAGCUGCUGUCCUACUCUAUUAUUGAAGUGCCUUUCAAGAGCUCAUCUUCUUAUCCAUUCAAGGGGGAAAUUACCGACAUCUGUGCACAGCAUAACAAUAUGUUCAUUUUUUGUCAGAUUAUACAGCCAAUAUUUCACAAGAAUAUUAAUAAAUGGUGAAUUUUAAAAUUA